rnacentral:rRNA from 1 species
AUGCACGCUGGCGGCGUGCCUCACACAUGCAAGUCGAACGGAGUCCAGCCUUUAAGACCUUCGGGUCAAAGAGGGGAAGACUGAGUGGCGGACGGGUGAGUAACACGUGGGCAACCUGGCUCAUAGAGGGGGAUAACAGAGAGAAAUUUCUGCUAAUACCGCAUAAGCACACACUGCCGCAUGGCAGAGGGUGAAAAGAGAAUCGCUAUGAGAUGGACCCGCGUCUGAUUAGCCAGUUGGCAGGGUAAGAGCCUACCAAAGCGACGAUCAGUAGCCGAUCUGAGAGGAUGAACGGCCACAUUGGGACUGAGACACGGCCCAAACUCCUACGGGAGGCAGCAGUGGGGGAUAUUGCACAAUGGGGGGAACCCUGAUGCAGCGACGCCGCGUGAGUGAAGAAGUAUUUCGGUAUGUAAAGCUCUAUCAGCAGGGAAGAUAAUGACAGUACCUGAAUAAGAAGCCCCGGCUAACUACGUG